rnacentral:rRNA from 1 species
CCACGAUACAUUGGAGGUCUUGGUUUCAGAGAUUUCGAACUGUUUAACUUAGCUCUUUUGGCACGCCGGUCUUGGAGGACUCUGAGUUCCCCGGAGUCGCUAAGUGCCCGUAUCCUCAAAGGGGUUUAUUUUCCUUCCUGCUCUAUCUUGGAAGCUAAUUUGGAAAGCCACCCGUCCUAGAUAUGGCGCUCAAUUUUGGAAGGAAGAGACAUAAUGAAGCAAGGGCUAGUAAGAAGGAUUGGUAAUGGGGCUACAACCGGCAUUUGGACCACUAACUGGAUCCCAAGACCAGAAAGAAUGCAACCAUUGCUAUCAAGAGUGACGAAUCCACCAGAGUUAGUUUCACAACUAAUUGAUACUGCAAACGCUAAGUGGAAUUCAGAAUUGAUCCGGGAGGUAUUUCUUCCUUUUGACGCAAAUGAGAUCCUUCAGAUUCCAAUUUGUUUGAGAAACAUUGACGAUUAUUGGUCAUGGAUGUUCGAGAAAUCAGGGAUUUUCAGUGUUAGGUCAGCCUAUAAAAUGAUAGUGGACACGAAGCGCCGCCGUGAGGACUGGCUUGAGGAACGGGCGGACAGUUCGAACAGAAACACUAGUAGAAAAAGGGGCUUUCGUUCGGGCCUGGCCAGCCCAUUAGUCCCGGUUCUUCCACGAACCGGGACCAAUGGAUGCAUUUGUCUCGGUUUGUGA